rnacentral:rRNA from 1 species
UACGAAGGAUUCGAGCGUUAUCCGGAUUUAUUGGGUUUAAAGGGUGCGUAGGUGGACUAAUAAGUCAGUGGUGAAAGCCCGCAGCUUAACUGCGGAACUGCCAUUGAUACUGUUAGUCUUGAGUACAGUUGAGGUGGGCGGAAUGUGUCAUGUAGCGGUGAGAUGCUUAGAUAUGACACAGAACACCGAUUGCGAAGGCAGCUCACUAAGCUGUAACUGACACUGAGGCACGAAAGUGUGGGUAGCAAACAGG